AGUGAACGCUGGCGGUAGGCCUAACACAUGCAAGUCGAACGGCAGCACAGUAAGAGCUUGCUCUUACGGGUGGCGAGUGGCGGACGGGUGAGGAAUACAUCGGAAUCUACUUUUUCGUGGGGGAUAACGUAGGGAAACUUACGCUAAUACCGCAUACGACCUACGGGUGAAAGCAGGGGAUCUUCGGACCUUGCGCGAUUGAAUGAGCCGAUGUCGGAUUAGCUAGUUGGCGGGGUAAAGGCCCACCAAGGCGACGAUCCGUAGCUGGUCUGAGAGGAUGAAUCGCCAAACCGGAAACUAGGAAAGGUCCCAGCCCCCAAGGGGGGGCGGCGGUGGGAAUUAUGGGCAAUGGGGGCAAGGCCGAUUCAAGCCAACCGGGGUGGGUAAGGAGGCCUUUCGGGUGGUAAGCCCUUUUGUUGGGAAAGAAAAGCAGCAGGUUAAUACCCCGCUGUUCUGACGGUACCCAAAGAAUAAGCACCGGCUAACUUCGUG
rnacentral:rRNA from 1 species